UAGGGUCUCUGACUCUCAAACCACUGUGCAUCAAUACCAUUACUGCUGAGGCGGGCCGCUCGCUGGGGGAGCUCAGGCCUGUAAAGGUGGCCCGCCGAAGCAACUUUCAAAACCUCUUUUUUACCUAAAAAGAAAAACUUUCAAAAAUAUCA
rnacentral:misc_RNA from 1 species